rnacentral:sRNA from 1 species
UCGAAUUCGGCGAGGCUCCUGUUCGGAGAAA